UAAACAAAACAGAGAGGGACUAAAUACAUGACUUCGAAAUUCUAGAACGCUAAGAACGGCAAAUACCUAACGUCUCGAUUUCUCGCUCUCUCUUCUUCUUACAUCGCUGAUCUCCAGGUUGGAAAUGUUAAUGUGUUACUUUGCAGCUACUAUGACCAUGGAGAAGAAAAUAGAAAUUUCCAGAGACGCAUUUAUUCAAUGCUUGAAGAGGACUACAAGAAAUCAAAUUUUCAACCACAACUUGAGACAAAGUAACAAAGUGCAUCAAUCUUGACAUUGGUGAAAGUUUGAAACCAUCACAAUGUCGCACUGUUAAUCUCUGAAGCAGAGGACUACAAGAAAUCAAAUUUUCAACCACAAAUGGUUAGGUACUUAAAAGUCCAGAAGCCUCUGAAUGUGGACGGAAGGCUUAGCAAACACCUACCUAUAUAACUCUAAACAAACCAUAUCUUGGCAAGAGAACAAACAUGAUGGCAUGUUGUAAUGACUCGAUGUCCAUGGAUAAAGUAUGAACUGCUUGAUAGAGUUUCUUAUAGAUAAGUCACCCAUUCAAUAUCGUGACUUGGUGUUGGUACUAGAGGAUCUAUAUAAUAAAGCUUGAACUUGCGUAGGGGUCAGUAUGAA